rnacentral:sRNA from 1 species
UGCAGGUAAAGGUGGUUUUCUGGUCACUCUAAGAACGAAAGAGGAACACAUGCUUAUAGCGUUGAAUGCUAAAAACUUUGCAUCCUUCGUAGGUUGUGAUGAGAGGGAAAAGAAAGGCACUUUUGUCUGGCACGAUGAUAUGAGUGCCAUACAAGAUAACGAUUAUCUUUUUAAUCCACCGGUAUUUGACAAAGAUGAGCAAACAUUUUGUUGUGUCUUAAUAGCUUUAGAAGAAUUUGAUUUCAGGAUUCUUCCUAAUGUCUGCACACUAGUAAUUCCCUAUGUCUGUGAGAUAAAAUAAUCGUUUUUUAGAGUGGUUUUAACAUUUUGGAUCAAAUAAACAAAAUAUACAAUUGUUCCAAUAAUUUGAAUAAUUAAAAGCAUUCUUUCAUU